AUUGAACGCUGGCGGCAGGCCUAACACAUGCAAGUCGAGCGGAGUGGCGAACGGGUGAGUAAAACGUGGGUGACCUGCCCUGCACUUCGGGAAAAGCCUGGGAAACUGGGUCUAAUACCGGAUAGUGUGGGAUGGGCCCGCGGCCUAUCAGCUUGUUGGUGGGGUAAGGGGCUACGAAGGGGGCGACGGGUAGCCUGCCUUAGAGGGUGGACGGCCACAUUGGGCCUGAGACACGGCCCAGACUCCUACGGGAGGCAGCAGUGGGGAAUAUUGCCCAAUGGGCGGAAGCCUGAUGCAGCGACGCCGCGUUGGUGAUGACGGCCUUCGGGUUGUAAACUCCUUUCACCAUCGACGCGGUAGAUGGAGAAGAAGCACCGGCUAACUACGUGCCAGCAGCCGCGGUAAUUC
rnacentral:rRNA from 1 species